UACGAAGGGGGCUAGCGUUGUUCGGAAUCACUGGGCGUAAAGCGCACGUAGGCGGACCUUUAAGUCAGAGGUGAAAGCCCGAAGCUCAACUUCGGAAUUGCCUUUGAUACUGGGGGUCUUGAGUACGAUAGAGGUUGGUGGAAUUGCGAGUGUAGAGGUGAAAUUCGUAGAUAUUCGCAAGAACACCAGUGGCGAAGGCGGCCAACUGGGUCGUAACUGACGCUGAGGUGCGAAAGCGUGGGGAGCAAACAGG
rnacentral:rRNA from 1 species